ACCAGCCCUCGUUUCCUAUCCAUUGCCUCCGCCCACCAAAUAUCACAACAACAACAAGCAGUGAGGUUACUACAACUGCGCAAGCAGCACCUUGGAGGAAAGAUUGUUUGGGAGCAGAGGAAGGGGCUUCCUGUCAGUGCCCCCUUCCCCUUUUGAUGUUCUACUCGUAGGGCACUGCCAGUGGGAACGCCAACAACUAGACUGUCCUGCCUGGUUGAAUUAGAGCAUGUGCUGUAGAAGUCCAACACCUGGAGAGGAAUUCAGAUGAGAAUGUCAGAAGCAUCUCUGAGGUUCGUUUGGAGUUAAGGGGAAGAGGUUCAUGAUAGUAGAGGAGAAAAUGGUGUAAGGAUGGGAGAAGAUGCUGCCCUUUCUGGAAUUGGCUGAAGACUCCUGCCAGGGCGGCAGGACUGGAGGAGGGUCCAAAUGGAGAGGAGACAGAGAAACGAAACCCCCGAAGGGUGUGAAUCUCCUAAUGUUAUAUUUUCGAUAGCAGGUAGAGUGCAGAGGAGAACGUAGGACCCAGGAGGAACCCCAGCCCUACAAGUGACCGGUUAUUUUGGCUUGUUUCAUGCAAUCCACUUCCUCAGGGGACGGCACACAAUCCACCUUAACAAAUAACUUUUCUGUGAACCAAUUAAAAAA